GCGUUAGUGGUGCAGCGAUUAGCAUACGCUCAUGGAGAGAGUGAAAUCUGGGUUGGAAUCCCGGCUCACGCA